rnacentral:rRNA from 1 species
CCUACGCGAGGCUGCAGUGAGGAAUAUUGGUCAAUGGACGAGAGUCUGAACCAGCCAAGUAGCGUGAAGGAUGACUGCCCUAUGGGUUGUAAACUUCUUUUAUAAAGGAAUAAAACGAGUCAAGUGUGCAUUUUUUCAUGUACUUUAUGAAUAAGGAUCGACUAACUCCGUGCCAGUAGCCGCGGUAAUACGGAGGAUCCGAGCGUUAUCCGGAUUUAUUGGAUUUAAAGGUAGAGUAGAUGGGUUGUUCAGUUAGUUGUGAAAGUUUGCGGCUCAACCGUAAAAUUGCAAUUGCUACUGACAGUCUUGAGUACAGUUGAGGUAGGCGGAAUUCGUGGUGUAGCGGUGAAAUGCUUAGAUAUCACGAAGAACCCCGAUUGCGAAGGCAGCUUACUAAACUGUGACUGACAUUGAUGCUCGAAAGUGUGGGUAUCAAACAGGAUUAGAUACCCUUGUAGUC